GUCCCCGUAGCGCAGUGGAUAACGCGCUGGACUUCUAAUCCAGAGGUCGCGGGUUCGAAUCCCCCGGGGAUG
rnacentral:tRNA from 1 species